GAGAAAAGUGAACUAAUCCACGAAACAAAACUAGAUUAAGUUUUCUCGAUCUCUCUGAUCGCCACUCACUAGCUAGUGCACGAUCUUCUGUUCUGUUUAUUGACUCCCUUCUUAGCUUGCAUCUUCUUGUUGUCUUCCUCUUUUCGCGUUUCCGACCUGAUCCAUCACAUGUACCAUUUCAUCUGGGUCGGAUUCGGGGCGCCCAUGCCGUGGAGGCCCUGCGGUGCCGUCGCGUCGUCCCUGCCGACGCCAAGGAAGUCCCUUGUGCUCACAUUGCCGUCGUCCACGCCCGCCAACCCUGAGAGGCCGCCGGUGCCUCCUCCCGUUAAUGGCAGUGAGUUCAUGAUGAGAUCAUGGAAAUAUGCCUCGUGAGACUUCUCUUCUUCCGCUGCCCUGCUACUAGUCUCCCGGACGCUGGCAGUGCCUGCGAAGCCGGCUGCGCGGAGCAGCGCGCUGGGGCCGUUGGGGUUGUGGGUGGUGCUCGACGUCGUCGAGCCCAUCUGAGCCGCCUUCAUCAGGAGCGCCGUCGCUGAGAGCCCGGCCGACGGAGAUGAGUUGUGCAGGGAAGGGACGAAGCCUCCGCCGAAGUGGCUUCCGAUGGACGCCAUCCCGUUACCAUGCUCGGUGUUGCUGCUGCUGCCGCCGUUGAGUUGGUCUUGGAUGACAAGGCGCGCGUCCUGAUGGCUGCUUCCGGGCCAUCCACCGCUGUUGCCAGAGAAGACCCCAAGGUUAGGGAGGUUGACGCGGGCGUUGCUGCUGCCUGGCUGGUGCUGCUGCUCGGGAAGUUGCGUCAGGUCAUGGCUAUGGAAGGGCUCCUUGCCGUGGAGCAGAGGGCCCUGGCUGCCAGACGUGCCACCACUGUUGCCAGAGAAGAACCCAAUGUCCAGGAGGUUAACGUUGGCGUUGCCGCUGUUUGGCUGAUACUGCUGCUCGGGGAGAUGCGUCAUCACGCCAUGCAAGGGCGCCUUGCCAUGGAGCAGAGGGCCCUGGCUGCCUUCGGAGAGAUCACCACCGUUGUCGGACAGGUCUUGUUCGAUAAGAGGAGUGCCGCCG
rnacentral:misc_RNA from 1 species